rnacentral:lncRNA from 1 species
GGGGAAGUCAUUCUGUGUAUAUGUUUGUCAUUAUUGGUUGAUGAAUAAAGCACUGUUGGCCAAUAGGAAAGCAAGAUAGGUGGGACUAGGAGUCAAGGAGGAUUCUGGGAAAUGUAGUAGAGGGCUAUAGCCAUGUGAGCUGGACAAGAGAGGAUGCAUGUUGCCGGCAUCCUCCAUCAGAUAAGUCUUUAUAAAUAUAUAGAUUAAUGAUUAUGGUUGAUAAUUCAGACUGAGCUAGCAGAUAAGAAAUUCUAGUCAUUGGUCAUCAGCAUUGUACCUAAUAUAAGUCUCUGUGUAUUAUUUUUGGGGUCCUAACGUUGCGGAGGAAGCAGGUGGCUGGCGGAAAGACUUAUCGUUACAGUAGACAACUCAAAAUAGCUUCAGGAAGUCCCUGAAACUGACCAAAUUCACUAGGCCCCUCCUUGCCAGAGUAAGCAAUAAACAUUGAGCUGCAAAGAAGACUCUGAGACCAGACCAGCUGCCGGAAGAAGCAGAAACCAGCAGAACUGCCUGGAAGAGGUUUAGACCAACUGAGACACCUGGGAAGGACACUCUGCACCAGGUUGAGCUGCCUGCAAGAUUUGUAGUGUGCUCCAGGUUCCAGCUUUGUGGGCUAUCAAAGCUGGCUCCAUCUGCAUCCAGGGCUGGGCUGCCUGGCUCCCACAGGUGAGGAUGUCUACAGAAGCUUGCUUGGGAUAUUCCCUCUACCCACUUCCAAUGUCCGGCUCUUGUCUAUGUCUCCAGACCUGGAAGAAAAACCCACCCCUAGGAUAUGGGGCUGGAAAACUUGGAGGUCUUCAUAGGAUCAUGAGAUACCCCUGCCUCAGCCUCAUGAGUGCUGGGAUUUCAGGGCACGACAUCAAAUGCAGGAUUUGAGAAGAACUGGGAGACAAUGAGUAAAGCCAUUUACAGUUUCAUUUGAGAGACCAUGAGCUGCUCAUUGAAGGAACUUCUACCAGGAGGGAGGGAGGGAACUGGGAAAGUCAACCCUCGCUCCUGCCAUCAUUUUCCCUGCACGUCUUCCCAUCAUAGAGAAUGGACACAAUAGCAAAAGCCCCGUCUUCUGUUGGCUAUUAACAGCAGCCAGAUUUACACCUUGCCUUCAAUCUCUCCUCAUCACAUCUUUACUUUUCUUUAUUUUUUAUGCCUUACAUUUGCCCUUCACAAAUAGAAUUCCUGGUUUUGCUUUAUGGGGAACUCAUAUUAAGCACUGCCAUGGAUACAGCAGAAUGUCUGAGAUACUUCCAGAAAUUUUUUUCAUGUAUAAAGAUGAGUGUAUAGAGAGGUAAGUCUAAGUUUUAUGUGUCAUGCUGGAAGAAGGUGCCAUUUCUCCUGAGACUGGAGUUAUAGAUGGCUGUGAACUGUUGUAUAGGUGUGGGACUUGAACCUCGAUCCUCUGAAAGAGCAGCCAGUGCUCUUGACUGCUGAACCAUCUCUCCAGCGCCCAAAUUUGUUCUUUAAAAAACAGUCAUCAUUUCAUUUCUCUCUGAGCCUAGAGGAGUCCUGUGAGCUUGCCAAUUUUGUUCCCUCUUUCUCCACUUAGGAAUGAAUUGCCACAUAUGUGUGUAGUCACAGAGCCAGAUCCUAUUUAAAUGCUGUGUAUAUGUGGGGAUGACCACCCAAAUCUAAAAGAAUGGGUGGAAUGGAGUAGACUCAACUCCCUUCCUGUCUGUGACAGUCCAACAUGGGCAAGCAGGCCUUGGUUAGCCUCUGCCUUGGCAAGAUGUUGUGGCUCCAGGUACCACAACCUGGCAUGCCUUCAGAUGAAUGUAGAAGGUGCUUUAAGAGCUUCUACGUAACAGAAGAGGCCAGGGGAGGGUUCCAGCAUUACCUAUGACCCCCUUACCUAUCUGCACAAUCCUUGUCCUGUUCUUGCUCCUCUACUGUGCCCACAGCUGGGACAUCAUUCAGAUGAUAUGUCUCCCACCUUGGUUCCCUUAAAAGCUGGCUGAGAAUUUUAUGGUGUGGUGGUUUGAAAGAAAAUGGCUCCCAAAGGGAGUGGCGCUAUUUGAAGGUGUGGCUUUGUUGGAAUAGAUGUGGCCUUGUUGGAGGAGGUGGGUCAUUAUGGGCGCCGGCUUUGAGGUCUCCUUUGCUCAAGCUAUGCUCAGUGUGGUAUGCAGUUCACUUCCUAUUGCCUGUAGAUCAAGAUGCAGAACCCUCAGCUCCCUUUCCAGCACUAUGUCUGCCUGCAUGCUACCAUGAUGAUAAUGGACUAAACCUCUGCAACUGUAAGCUCUCCCCAAUUAAAUGCUUUCCUUUAUAAGAGUUGCCAUGGCCAUAGUGUCUCUUCACAGCAAUAGAAACCCUAACUAAGACACAUGGCAUGGAGAUUAAUUGCAGACCCCUGGAGGUCACUUUCAGGAUCUUGUGUAGCCAAGGUCAUUGACACUCUCUGUGUUUUCUACAGCCUUUUGUGCAGCAGACACUGGAGGCCUCAGAUCCUUGGUAUGGACAUGCCCCACACCAUUUCACACUCAGGCUUGCAUUUCUUGGGUCACCAUCUCUCCUCUAAUACCACCAUCUCUACAAGACUUCCCUGGUUCCCUACUUAAAGUGACCUUUCUCCUCUCUGCUUCUGAAGCAGAUAGGUUGUCUCCAUUUCUUCUCUCACCCUGCCUUAUUUUGUGGUUAUUUGCUCGUUUCUCUGCCUUGAGGAAAUGUUUUUUAUUUCUUCCCUUUUAAUU